rnacentral:tRNA from 1 species
GGGCUUAUAGCUCAGUGGAAAGAGCACUAGAUUCCGGUUCUGGGUGUCGUGAGUUCGAUUCUCGCUAAGCCUA